rnacentral:rRNA from 1 species
UACGGAGGAUGCGAGCGUUAUCCGGAUUUAUUGGGUUUAAAGGGUGCGCAGGCGGAGGCACAAGUCAGCGGUAAAAUCGCGGGGCUCAACCCCGCUCCGCCGUUGAAACUGUGUCCCUUGAGUGCGCGAAGGGUAGGCGGAAUGCGUGGUGUAGCGGUGAAAUGCAUAGAUAUCACGCAGAACUCCGAUCGCGAAGGCAGCCUACCGGCGCGCGACUGACGCUCAGGCACGAAAGCGUGGGUAUCGAACAGG